AGUGAACACUGGCGGUAGGCCUAACACAUGCAAGUCGAACGGCAGCACAGUAAGAGCUUGCUCUUACGGGUGGCGAGUGGCGGACGGGUGAGGAAUACGUCGGAAUCUACUUUUUCGUGGGGGAUAACGUAGGGAAACUUACGCUAAUACCGCAUACGACCUACGGGUGAAAGCAGGGGAUCUUCGGACCUUGCGCGAUUGAAUGAGCCGAUGUCGGAUUAGCUAGUUGGCGGGGUAAAGGCCCACCAAGGCGACGAUCCGUAGCUGGUCUGAGAGGAUGAUCAGCCACACUGGAACUGAGACACGGUCCAGACUCCUACGGGAGGCAGCAGUGGGGAAUAUUGGACAAUGGGCGCAAGCCUGAUCCAGCCAUACCGCGUGGGUGAAGAAGGCCUUCGGGUUGUAAAGCCCUUUUGUUGGGAAAGAAAAGCAGCAGGUUAAUACCCCGCUGUUCUGACGGUACCCAAAGAAUAAGCACCGGCUAACUUCGUG
rnacentral:rRNA from 1 species